GGUGGCUCAGUGGUAGAGUGCGAGCCUCGCAUGCACGAGGCCCUGGGUUCGAUUCCUUAGCACCA
rnacentral:tRNA from 1 species